ensembl:lncRNA
UGUAGUUUGAGGCGGGUUUUUCUUGCUGAACCGCUCUGGGUGCUGUGUCCCUGAAUCUCACCGGUGUUAACCUCUGGCGGAAGACAUGGAGAAAAGGAAAAGAUGUUCCUGGUAAAUCACUGAAACAAAUAAAACCACACACAACCAGAGAAAGAUAUGAGAAGGGUGAGGAACAGACACAUGUGCGUGUUAGAGACAUGCCUCGUUUGAGAAAAAGUUAAAGUAACCCAUAUACAGACGCACCCAUACAUGCAAUGAAGAAACAGCUUACAUACAUGUGCACGUACAUGCAAGGUUAAAGUAGCGACACUUAACAUACACCUGUUUUUAAAUGAUAUAGUUUAUACAUUACUGACAAUUAAACGCUUUGGGUUGCAGGACAACAACGUAACGUUAAAAGACAAAGACACUGGUCUGAGGAUUAAGUGAGGACACGACAAAUUUAGUGGUUAAAAGGGUCGACUUGGGACAUGUUUUUGUUGAUUGUUUAAGACAAAUGACUACUGAAUGAUAGGAAAUUCCUUUUUAGGUUUCUAAACAGGAUCUUAAGAAUUUUGACACGUACCUGUGUUGUCCUGUCAACUUGAGGGGUUAUGAGUUGAUUAUAUGGUGAAAAAAAAAAAAAAAAAAAAACAAAAACAAAAAAGGGGGGAGACGAGAUCUCGUUGUUUCUCCCCUCUCGGGAUAACACAGCCAACACAGCACAGCCAACACAACAUCAUUUUCCUGUUCGCCUGUUUUGUUUUGUUUUUGUUUUUUCUGAGAGCCGAAGCUGACCUGGACUCCUACCCUCCCCUCUACCAUCGUUGCCCUCUCCGCGACCAUCUUUGACCCUUUGACCCCUGAAGGCCACAGCAGCUGGACUCACAACAACAACUUGAGGAUGUCAACAGUGCUGCAAAAGAGUGAUCUCAUGCAGCAGAGACGGAGAGCACUAAACCUAAAGCCCGUUUCACUACACGGGGGAAAUUCCCAGGCUGCGUCAGCUGACAGAGCUGUGACGAGACGCGCAUUAAGCCCGGAGGAAAAGGGACGGUGAGCAGAAGGAUGCUGACCUCUGAGAAGAGCCGAACAGCAGAGCUGCAGAAGGCCGUGGAGCAAAGUAAGGAAGAUGCAGGCAGCUGCAACAACGGAUGAAAACAGACCCAAAGAGGAGGGGAGGACCCUAGGCCAUGCGUCAGGCCGCUGGUUUACCUAAACUACAGAACAGAAAGGUUGUUGCUCUUUAACUCCUAGAACACGCCCUUGGCGAGGUGGGGGGAACUGGACCACCUUUCUGUGCCCCAUCAUCCUCUAUUAGACGACAUCCAAGCUAAGUAAACAUGUCUUGGCCCUUUCCCCCUGAAAUGACAGGCAGGCAAAGAUGUUGCGUCUUUGUUUGCUUCCUGGCCCUGGGUCUCAUUCCCAUUGGCAUAAUCCUGAUCUGUGAAGGGCCCCCGACACUUAUGACACCUUCAAGUUCAAAAGCUUCGCCCCCUUCUGACAGUCCCAAUCUGACAAAUGUAGCCCCUAGGGUCUUGCCCACCACUUCCUCUCCAGUUUUGCCCACGCCCGAUCCAUUUAGAAAGAAACGAGACACGGUUACCUCCUCGCCAACGGAUGAUGAAAACUCUGAUCGUGAGGGUGACGAACAUUAUCGUCUUUCUCUUGUUUAAAUUCUUCUAGAAUGGUUGUUUCUCUGUGGUGUUUUGUAUUAGGCUUGUUAUUAAUUGUUUCCCUCACCCACUUCCUCUUGAAGGAUAUAUCUGGUUGAACUGUGUCUGGUCGGGUUGUGAGGGUUAAGCGAUGUUCUCAGGGUCUCCGGACUUAAGCCUGAGCGAAUGUGUACUCCCACCAAUGGAUAUGAAUUGUUUUUUUUUUUCCACAC